AUUGAACGCUGGCGGCAGGCUUAACACAUGCAAGUCGAGCGGAGAUGAGGUGCUUGCACCUUAUCUUAGCGGCGGACGGGUGAGUAAUGCUUAGGAAUCUGCCUAUUAGUGGGGGACAACAUUCCGAAAGGAAUGCUAAUACCGCAUACGUCCUACGGGAGAAAGCAGGGGAUCUUCGGACCUUGCGCUAAUAGAUGAGCCUAAGUCGGAGUAGCUAGUUGGUGGGGUAAAGGCCUACCAAGGCGACGAUCUGUAGCGGGUCUGAGAGGAUGAUCCGCCACACUGGGACUGAGACACGGCCCAGACUCCUACGGGAGGCAGCAGUGGGGAAUAUUGGACAAUAGGGGAAACCCUGAUCCAGCCAUGCCGCGUGUGUGAAGAAGGCCUUAUGGUUGUAAAGCACUUUAAGCGAGGAGGAGGCUACUGAGACUAAUACUCUUGGAUAGUGGACGUUACUCGCAGAAUAAGCACCGGCUAACUCUGUGCCAGCCGCCGCAGUAA
rnacentral:rRNA from 1 species